UCGAAUGGGUCUGUGUUAUUUUCAUGAAAUUUGGCAACGUUGUUUUUAAAAAAUCUGAUGACAACUGAUUGAACUGUGACUCUUUCUUUGUUGGUCAUUUGUUGGCGGCAAAAAAUACUCGUAGCUGAUGUGUUUUUAUCAAAGUUGAGACAAUUGAAGUAUUUUCCGGCGCUUGGAUCAUCGAUCAGAAUCUGCCGAUAUCAAUGCGAAAAUCAUUUAUUUGGACAUCCAUGCAGGGUAUCUUGUGUGGCCAUGCUGCAUUACUUAUACGCGCUCACGACCUACAAAACUGUUCUGCUUUAUUCUAAGUUUCUUCGAAACAAUUUUGCGAACGUCCGGAGAUAGUGUAAUCGACCAAGUCAUGGAAAACGACUCUGCUGUUUGUAUCCACCUGCACCACACCUGCAGUAAAUGUCACCUCUGAUCUGAUGACUCCAGAAUCUCCAGAAUCAGUAGACCAGACACGUACUUAGGCAGGCGGAACUCCAUUCGUUUUGGGUAAUGUGAUGGCACCGUUUGUCGAACAAAUCGACCCCUUUGGAUUGAGGUGGAGCCUCAUGUCUAUGUACCGAUUUGUCUGCAGAAAAAUUUCUAUAAAAGAUGGACAAUAAAAAACAAAAAAAAAACACAAAAAUGAAACGAAAUUAAUUUU